CAGUAGCCACGGUAAUACGAAGGGGGCUAGCGUUGUUCGGAUUUACUGGGCGUAAAGGGCGCGUAGGCGGAUUUGUAAGUCAGGGGUGAAAUCCCGAGGCUCAACCUCGGAACUGCCUUUGAUACUGUGGAUCUUGAGUCCGGGAGAGGUGAGUGGAACUGCGAGUGUAGAGGUGAAAUUCGUAGAUAUUCGCAAGAACACCAGUGGCGAAGGCGGCUCACUGGCCCGGAACUGACGCUGAGGCGCGAAAGCGUGGGGAGCAAACAGGAUUAGAUACCCGCGUAGUCCCUGUCUCUUAUAC
rnacentral:rRNA from 1 species